CUCACAGUUCCUUUCAAGAGCAGAGCAGAGUUCUGGAAUGUUCCUCAAAUGUCAAAGGUCAUGGCCUGAGUUUCAAAAUUCCUAAGAAAAAUAGCAACAGCAAAAAAAGCAAUUGGCAGUGUCUGCAUGUGAAGAUUCGUGGAUUCCUCAAAAGCUGAUCAUCUGUGUUUUCUCUGCAUGGCUAAGAAGGAUUUUUUAAAAAUAAAACUAAAUAAAGAUGCCACCUACCAUAAGUCUGAA